AACAAGGAUUCCCCUAGUAGCGGCGAGCGAAGCGGGAAGAGCUCAAAUUUAUAAUCUGGCACCUUCGGUGUCCGAGUUGUAAUCUCUAGAAAUGUUUUCCGCGCUGGACCGCACACAAGUCUGUUGGAAUACAGCGGCAUAGUGGUGAGACCCCCGUAUAUGGUGCGGAUGCCCAGCGCUUUGUGAUACAUUUUCGAAGAGUCGAGUUGUUUGGGAAUGCAGCUCAAAUUGGGUGGUAAAUUCCAUCUAAAGCUAAAUAUUGGCGAGAGACCGAUAGCGAACAAGUACCGUGAGGGAAAGAUGAAAAGCACUUUGGAAAGAGAGUUAACAGUACGUGAAAUUGUUGGAAGGGAAACGCUUGAAGUCAGACUUGCUUGCCGAGCAAUCGGUUUGCAGGCCAGCAUCAGUUUUCCGGGAUGGAUAAUGGUAGAGAGAAGGUAGCAGUUUCGGCUGUGUUAUAGCUCUCUACUGGAUACAUCUUGGGGGACUGAGGAACGCAGUGGCCUUACGGCGGGGGUUUCGACCUCUUCACACUUAGGAUGCUGGUGGAAUGGCUUUAAACGACCCGUC
rnacentral:rRNA from 1 species